rnacentral:snRNA from 1 species
UUUGAAGGGUGUGGGUAUAGGGUCGAAUGGAGGGUGGUGAAUUCGCGGCAUUACCUGCCCCAUAAUCGGGAACGGGUCUACAUGGUUGGAACACGCAAUUAUUUCCCCAAAAAUGGCAUGGAUUGGACCAAGGUCCAAAGUGGCAACAAAACAGGCAGCACC